GGGCGGUUAGCUCAAUGGUAGAGCGCGUUCUUGACGUGAAUGAGGCUACAGGUUCGAGUCCUGUACCGCCCA
rnacentral:tRNA from 1 species